UACGAAGGGGGCUAGCGUUGCUCGGAUUGACUGGGCGUAAAGGGCGCGUAGGCGGUUCGUACAGUCAGACGUGAAAUUCCUGGGCUCAACCUGGGGGCUGCGUUUGAUACGUGCGGACUUGAGUGCGGAAGAGGGUCGUGGAAUUCCCAGUGUAGAGGUGAAAUUCGUAGAUAUUGGGAAGAACACCGGUGGCGAAGGCGGCGACCUGGUCCGAUACUGACGCUGAGGCGCGAAAGCGUGGGGAGCAAACAGG
rnacentral:rRNA from 2 species